GAUGAACGCUGGCGGCGUGCCUAAUACAUGCAAGUCGAGCGAACGGACGAGAAGCUUGCUUCUCUGAUCUUUGCGGCGGACGGGUGUGUAACACGUGGAUAACCUCCCUAUCAGACUGGGAUACCUUCGGGACACCGGAGCUAAUUCGGGAUGAUCUUUUGAACCGCAUGGUUCAGCAGUAAAAGACGGUCUUGCUGUCACUGAUAGAUGGAUCCGCGCUGCAUUAGGUAGUUGGUAAGGUAAAGGCUUACCAAGGCAACGAUGCAUAGCCGACCUGAGAGGGUGAUCGGCCACCUUGGAACUGAGACACGGUCCAGACGCCUGCGAGACGCAGCAGUAGGGAAUGGUCCGCAAUGGGCGAAAGCCUGACGGAGCAAGGCAGCGCGAGUUAUGACGGUCUUCGGAGCGUAAAACCCUGUUAUGAGGUAAGAACAUAUGUGUACGUAAAUGUGCACAACGUGACGGUACCUAAUCAGAAAGCCCCGGCUAACUACGUG
rnacentral:rRNA from 1 species